rnacentral:rRNA from 1 species
CACUCCUACGGGAGGCAGCAGUGGGGAAUUUUGGACAAUGGGCGAAAGCCUGAUCCAGCAAUGCCGCGUGAGUGAAGAAGGCCUUCGGGUUGUAAAGCUCUUUUGUCAGGGAAGAAACGGUGAGAGCUAAUAUCUCUUGCUAAUGACGGUACCUGAAGAAUAAGCACCGGCUAACUACGUGCCAGCAGCCGCGGUAAUACGUAGGGUGCAAGCGUUAAUCGGAAUUACUGGGCGUAAAGCGUGCGCAGGCGGUUUUGUAAGUCUGAUGUGAAAUCCCCGGGCUCAACCUGGGAAUUGCAUUGGAGACUGCAAGGUUAGAAUCUGGCAGAGGGGGGUAGAAUUCCACGUGUAGCAGUGAAAUGCGUAGAUAUGUGGAGGAACACCGAUGGCGAAGGCAGCCCCCUGGGUCAAGAUUGACGCUCAUGCACGAAAGCGUGGGGAGCAAACAGGAUUAGAAACCCGAGUAGUCCC